rnacentral:rRNA from 11 species
CCGGGUUUGAUCCUGGCUCAGAGUGAACGCUAGGGGUACGCAUAACACAUGCGAGUCAACGUAUCGUGGCGAACGGGUGAGUACAGCAGGCAAUCACGCCUGGUAGCCCAGAAUAAAUUCUGGAUAAAAAGAUUAAUCGCUGCCGGAUACGUCUGUGUAGGAUUAGAUAAUCGUAGAGAGUCGAUGAUCCUUAGUUGAUCUGGGAAGGAUGCACAGCCACAUUGGAACUGAGACAAGGUCCAAGCUCCAGUAGGAGGCAGCAGUGAGGAAUAUUGGGCAAUGGGCGAAAGCCUGACCCAACGAUACCCCGUGAUUGAAGAAGACCAAGGUCGUAAAGGUACGCGGUCAGUAAAGAUUACGACGGUAACUGGCCAAAAAGCCCCGGCUAACUCCGUGCCAGCAG